GAUGAACGCUAGCGGGAGGCUUAAUACAUGCAAGUCGAACGGUAAGGUUUCUAGCUUGCUAGAAAUACACGAGUGGCGCACGGGUGAGUAACGCGUACACUACCUACCUUAAAGAAGGGAAUAGCCCUGGGAAACUGGGAUUAAUACCCUAUGGUAUUAUGAAUUUAUUUAUAAUUAAAGCUUUCGAGUGCUUUAAGAUGGGUGUGCGUCUCAUUAGCUAGUUGGUAAGGUAACGGCUUACCAAGGCGACGAUGGGUAGGGGGCGUGAGAGCGUGGACCCCCACACGGGUACUGAGACACGGACCCGACUCCUACGGGAGGCAGCAGUAAGGAAUAUUGGACAAUGGAGGCAACUCUGAUCCAGCCAUCCUGCGUGUAGGAAGACGGCCCUAUGGGUUGUAAACUACUUUUAUUAGGGAAGAAAAUGUUGAAUUUAUUUGACACUGACGGUACCUAAAGAAUAAGCACCGGCUAACUCCG
rnacentral:rRNA from 1 species